CCUACGGGGGGCAGCAGUGGGGAAUCUUGCACAAUGGGCGAAAGCCUGAUGCAGCGACGCCGCGUGCGGGAUGAAGGCCUUCGGGUUGUAAACCGCUUUCAGCAGGGACGAGGCCGCAAGGUGACGGUACCUGCAGAAGAAGCCCCGGCUAACUACGUGCCAGCAGCCGCGGUAAUACGUAGGGGGCAAGCGUUAUCCGGAUUCAUUGGGCGUAAAGAGCUCGUAGGCGGCCCGUUAGGUCAGGAGUCAAAUUCGGGGGCUCAACCCCCGCGCGCUCCUGAUACCGGCGGGCUUGAGUUUGGUAGGGGAAGGUGGAAUUCCCAGUGUAGCGGUGGAAUGCGCAGAUAUUGGGAAGAACACCGGUGGCGAAGGCGGCCUUCUGGGCCAUAACUGACGCUGAGGAGCGAAAGCUAGGGGAGCGAACAGGAUUAGAUACCCGAGUAGUCC
rnacentral:rRNA from 1 species